GGAGAUAGAAUUGAAGAAGAAAGUAUUUCGAUUGCAGGAGAAUCAUCUAUUUCUAAUAAGUUUAGAUAUGUUGUUUGCAAGAGUGAAACAGAAGAUAAGGAGACUAGAAAGAAGAGUUAUUAGUUUUUACCUCCACCAUUCUUCAAAGACUGUUGUUACUCGCUACUGCUACUGGGCAUAAUUGAGAUGAACUCAAACUGUUGUUUAUACAAUGUCAAACAGACAGAGAACAUACAGACACAGUAGGUAUAAAUGUAUAAUAAUCAAGGUCGUCAAUAAUGCUGCUGAUGGAAGUGUGUGUAACCAAGGAACUGUCAAGGAAAAGAAGUCAUUUGUAUUUUGUAUGUAUGCAGGUGGAGGUACAAGACAUUCUACAAGGGACUACAACCUGUGCAGAUAUAGUGUUUCAUGCAAGUGAGGAGAACUCUGUCUAAGAGACUUGGCCUGAGUACUUUUUUUUUUUUUUAUUAUAUAUCUAGAUUCUAGAAAACACACUUCCCUUUUGCGAAAAAAAAAAAAAAUAAAAACAUACUACCAAUAUCACACUAGAUUAAGAUGAUCACAUUACUAAAAAAAUAGAAAUAUUUGUUCAUCCAUAAAAUGCAGCCAUAAACUGUAAGCAAAUUAACACUGGGUGGGCACAAACAUGCAAUUAAAUACAGAAAAAAAUGCUAACAAUAAUUACAUGAUUUAUACCAAUCAAUUUCAUAAAUCAACUCAAUGACAUCCAUACUCAAGAUCAUACCUUUUUUAAAAAAAACUGAUGAAAGCAACCAAUACAACAGAAACCUCCUCCAAAUGUCAAAUCUAAUCACAAAAUCUGAAACAAACCAAAACCCACCAUAAUCAAACCUUUGUCAAACUCCCUUUCACCAAAACUUUAACAAAAAAACGAAUUUCAACCUUAAAUAGUAAUCUUACCUUGCUUUAAGAAAAAAGUAUUUUCAGAUCUGAAUUUGUAAAUCGAAAUGACCCCCAAACCAAGUUAGCAAGGAGCAAAGAGAUAGAGAGAAGAAAGAAGUAUAAGAAAGAAGGAAGAAGAUGCAGUUGAGAGAGAAAGAGAGAAGAAGAAAAGGAUGGAUUGAAGAGCUGGUUAAUGAGAUCUAUGGUGAAAGUAGAGAGAGAGAAGAAGAAGAUUGGUUGAGAGUGAAGAAGAAGAAGAUUGGUUUUCUUACUUACUGUUUUGAUCGAGAUGGGAAGGAGAGAAAGAGAUCGAGAUGGGGAAGAGAGAAAAGGAAAGCGGUUUCCAAAAAAAUAAAAACGUGUCCGCUUUCCUUAUUUUUGAGCUAACUCGAAAUCACGGGGAAUCUGCUUUCCUAAGUUAUUAGUUUUCCAUCUCGAACCAAACACUCGGAAUUUGUACUUUUCAGGAAAACGUUUUCCUUUCCCACCUUUUCCCCUGAAC
rnacentral:lncRNA from 1 species